rnacentral:rRNA from 1 species
CCCGCACAAGCGGUGGAGCAUGUGGUUUAAUUCGAUGCAACGCGAAGAACCUUACCUGGUCUUGACAUCCACGGAAGUUUUCAGAGAUGAGAAUGUGCCUUCGGGAACCGUGAGACAGGUGCUGCAUGGCUGUCGUCAGCUCGUGUUGUGAAAUGUUGGGUUAAGUCCCGCAACGAGCGCAACCCUUAUCCUUUGUUGCCAGCGGUCCGGCCGGGAACUCAAAGGAGACUGCCAGUGAUAAACUGGAGGAAGGUGGGGAUGACGUCAAGUCAUCAUGGCCCUUACGACCAGGGCUACACACGUGCUACAAUGGCGCAUACAAAGAGAAGCGACCUCGCGAGAGCAAGCGGACCUCAUAAAGUGCGUCGUAGUCCGGAUUGGAGUCUGCAACUCGACUCCAUGAAGUCGGAAUCGCUAGUAAUCGUGGAUCAGAAUGCCACGGUGAAUACGUUCCCGGGCCUU